AGAUGGCACAAAGAAGAGGACAAAAAGAGGGAGAAAAACCUAUGUAGGCCAAGAGCUCUCGCUGAUACGGAAUGUGGAUUAAUACCUAGAUGCAUUUUGACAAAACGACACCAUGAGUACAUGGACCCUCUUUCUUAUAUUAGUCUUUGGAUAUAUUGCCACAAAAUCACAUGUGCACGAAUAUCAAACUCAUAGAAGAUACCUCCAAGUGAAGGUUCAAAACGAGUCCGUGGAACUGGGCAACAGCAUAAGAAGUUUAUGAGAAAUGUCUCUGCCAGCGUGUAAUGGAUGCUUACGCCAUGCACGAUUGACUGUUGAUCCUUAUGGUCCCUGGGUCAUUGCGUCAGGAGGGCGUACAUGUGUCUCUUAUACACUUCUUUGAGAGACAAUCAUUCAAGAGCAAUCAAAGUAAACAAGACAUUCAAUAAAAACUCAAUCAACA